rnacentral:rRNA from 1 species
GAUGAACGCUGGCGGCGUGCCUAAUACAUGCAAGUCGAGCGAAUGGAUUAAGAGCUUGCUCUUAUGAAGUUGGCGGCGGACGGGUGAGUAACACGUGGGUAACCUGCCCAUAAGACUGGGAUAACUCCGGGAAACCGGGGCUAAUACCGGAUAACAUUUUGAACCGCAUGGUUCGAAAUUGAAAGGCGGCUUCGGCUGUCACUUAUGGAUGGACCCGCGUCGCAUUAGCUAGGUGGUGAGGUAACGGCUCACCAAGGCAACGAUGCGUAGCCGACCUGGGAGGGUGAUCGGCCACACUGGGACUGAGACACGGCCCAGACGCCUACGGGAGGCAGCAGUAGGGAAGCUUCCGCAAUGGACGAAAGUCUGACGGAGCAACGCCGCGUGAGUGAUGAAGGCUUUCGGGUCGUAAAACUCUGUUGUUAGGGAAGAACAAGUGCUAGUUGAAUAAGCUGGCACCUUGACGGUACCUAACCAGAAAGCCACGGCUAACUACGUGCCAGCCGCCGCCGUAA